rnacentral:rRNA from 1 species
GACGAACGCUGGCGGCGUGCCUAAUACAUGCAAGUCGUGCGGACCUUUUAAAAGCUUGCUUUUAAAAGGUUAGCGGCGGACGGGUGAGUAACACGUGGGCAACCUGCCUGUAAGACUGGGAUAACGCCGGGAAACCGGGGCUAAUACCAGAUCGUUUUUUCCUCCGCAUGGAGGAAAAAGGAAAGGCGGCUUCGGCUGCCACUUACAGAUGGGCCCGCGGCGCAUUAGCUAGUUGGCGGGGUAACGGCCCACCAAGGCAACGAUGCGUAGCCGACCUGAGAGGGUGAUCGGCCACAUUGGGACUGAGACACGGCCCAAACUCCUACGGGAGGCAGCAGUAGGGAAUCUUCCGCAAUGGACGAAAGUCUGACGGAGCAACGCCGCGUGAGUGAAGAAGGCCCUCGGGUCGUAAAACUCUGUUGCCGGGGAAGAACAAGUGCCGUUCGAACAGGGCGGCGCCUUGACGGUACCCGGCCAGAAAGCCACGGCUAACUACGUG